UACGUAGGGUGCGAGCGUUAAUCGGAAUUACUGGGCGUAAAGCGUGCGCAGGCGGUUCGUUGUGUCGGUGGUGAAAGCCCCGGGCUUAACCUGGGAAUGGCCAUGGAAACUGGCGAACUGGAGUGUGGCAGAGGGGGGUGGAAUUCCGCGUGUAGCAGUGAAAUUCGUAGAUAUGGGGAGGAACACCGGUGGCGAAGGCGGCCACCUGGACGGUAACUGACGCUGAGACGCGAAAGCGUGGGGAGCAAACAGG
rnacentral:rRNA from 1 species